AUUGAACGCUGGCGGCAUGCUUUACACAUGCAAGUCGAACGGUAACAGGCCGCAAGGUGCUGACGAGUGGCGAACGGGUGAGUAAUGCAUCGGAACGUGCCCAGUCGUGGGGGAUAACGCAGCGAAAGCUGCGCUAAUACCGCAUACGAUCUAUGGAUGAAAGCGGGGGACCGUAAGGCCUCGCGCGAUUGGAGCGGCCGAUGUCAGAGUAGGGAGUUGGUGGGGUAAAGGCUCACCAAGCCAACGAUCUGUAGCUGGUCUGAGAGGACGACCAGCCACACUGGGACUGAGACACGGCCCAGACUCCUACGGGAGGCAGCAGUGGGGAAUUUUGGACAAUGGGCGCAAGCCUGAUCCAGCAAUGCCGCGUGCAGGAAGAAGGCCUUCGGGUUGUAAACUGCUUUUGUACGGAACGAAACGGUCCUGGUUAAUACCCGGGGCUAAUGACGGUACCGUAAGAAUAAGCACCGGCUAACUACGUGCCAGCCGCCGCUGUAAUAC
rnacentral:rRNA from 1 species